CUCGUGUUAAGCAUCACGUUUGGGUUUCAGCAAGAACCAGCGAGGUUCAUUCUCGUGUUAAGCAUCACGUUUGGGCUUCAGCAAGAACCAGCGAGGUUCAUUCUCGUGUUACGCGUCACAUUUGGGUUUCAGCAAGAACCAGUGAGGUUCAUUCUCGUGUUAAGCAUCACGUUUGGGCUUCAGCAAGAACCAGCGAGGUUCAUUCUCGUGUUAAGCAUCACAUUUGGGCUUCAGCAAGAACCAGCGAGGUUCAUUCUCGUGUUACGCGUCACAUUUGGGUUUCAGCAAGAACCAGCGAGGUUCAUUCUCGUGUUACGCGUCACAUUUGGGUUUCAGCAAGAACCAGCGAGGUUCAUUCUCGUGUUAAGCAUCACGUUUGGGCUUCAGCAAGAACCAGCGAGGUUCAUUCUCGUGUUAAGCAUCACGUUUGGGCUUCAGCAAGAACCAGCGAGGUUCAUUCUCGUGUUACGCGUCACAUUUGGGCUUCAGCAAGAACCAAUGAAGUUCAUUCUCGCGUUACGCAUCACAUUUGAACUUCUGCAAGAACCAAUGAGGUUCAUUCUCGUGUUACGCAUCACAUUUGAACUUCUGCAAGAGCCAAUGAGGUUCAUUCUCGCGUUACGCUUCACAUUUGAACUUCUGCAAGAGGUGUGUUCUUGUGCAUCAAGCAGGGUCGGUUGAGCUUUGUUUAUGUCUGCUGAUCAAUGUUUAUAUGUGAAUAAAAGCCUAAAUUAAAUCUGUUCAUCAU